rnacentral:rRNA from 1 species
ACUCAAAUGAAUUGACGGGGACUUGUACAAGCAGUGGAUUAUGUGGUUUAAUUCGAUGGUAACCGAAGAACCUUACCCAGAUUAGAAAUCCUAACGAUAGGUCUAGGAAACUAGACCCUCCGCAAGGCGGUAGGACAGGUGAUGCAUGGCCGUCGUCAGUUCGUGGUUUGAAUUGUUCCCUUAAGUGGGGUAACGAACGCAACCCUCGUCGUCUGUUACAAGUGUCAGGCGAGACUGCCCCGACCUUUGCGCGUGAAAUAUUUUCGCGAAUAAAGGUCGGGGAGGAAGGAGAGGAUGACGCCAGGUCAGCAUGUCCCUUUGAUAUCUGGGGCUACACACAUAAUACAAUGGCCGCUACAACAGGUUGCGAAAGCGUAAGCUCGAGCCAAUCCUUAUAAAAGCGGCCUCAGUUCGGAUUGGGGUCUGCAACUCGACCCCAUGAAGCUGGAAUUGCUAGUAAUCGCAGGUCAGCAAACUGCGGUGAAUACGUUCUCAAGUCUUGUACACACCGCCCGU